GGUUACUGCUAUCGGUGUUCGCCUAAGCCAUGCGAGUCAUAUGUUCUUCGGAACAUGGCGUACUGCUCAGUAACACGUGGAUAACCUGCCCUUGGGUCCGGCAUAACCCCGGGAAACUGGGGAUAAUUCCGGAUAACGCAUAUAUGCUGGAAUGCUUUCUGCGUAAAAUGGAUUCGUCUGCCCAAGGAUGGGUCUGCGGCCUAUCAGGUAGUAGUGGGUGUAAUGUACCUACUAGCCGACGACGGGUACGGGUUGUGAGAGCAAGAGCCCGGAGAUGGAUUCUGAGACAUGAAUCCAGGCCCUACGGGGCGCAGCAGGCGCGAAAACUUUACAAUGCGGGAAACCGUGAUAAGGGGACACCGAGUGCCAGCAUCAUAUGCUGGCUGUCCGGGUGUGUAAAAUACACCCGUUAGCAAGGGCCGGGCAAGACCGGUGCCAGCCGCCGCGGUAACACCGGCGGCCCGAGUGGUGAUCGUGAUUAUUGGGUCUAAAGGGUCCGUAGCCGGUUUGGUCAGUCCUCCGGGAAAUCUGAUAGCUCAACUAUUAGGCUUUCGGUGGAUACUGCCAGGCUUGGAACCGGGAGAGGUAAGAGGUACUACAGGGGUAGGAGUGAAAUCUUGUAAUCCCUGUGGGACCACCUGUGGCGAAGGCGUCUU
rnacentral:rRNA from 1 species